rnacentral:rRNA from 1 species
AUGCACGCUGGCGGCGUGCCUAAUACAUGCCAGUCGAGCGAACGGACGAGAAGCUUGCUUCUCUGAUGUUAGCGGCGGACGGGUGAGUAACACGUGGAUAACCUACCUAUAAGACUGGGAUAACUUCGGGAAACCGGAGCUAAUACCGGAUAAUAUUUUGAACCGCAUGGUUCAAAAGUGAAAGACGGUCUUGCUGUCACUUAUAGAUGGAUCCGCGCUGCAUUAGCUAGUUGGUAAGGUAACGGCUUACCAAGGCAACGAUGCAUAGCCGACCUGAGAGGGUGAUCGGCCACACUGGAACUGGGACACGGUCCAGACUCCUACGGGAGGCAGCAGUAGGGAAUCUUCCGCAAUGGGCGAAAGCCUGACGGAGCAACGCCGCGUGAGUGAUGAAGGUCUUCGGAUCGUAAAACUCUGUUAUUAGGGAAGAACAUAUGUGUAAGUAACUGUGCACAUCUUGACGGUACCUAAUCAGAAAGCCACGGCUAACUACGUG